ACAUUUUCUUUAUUUAUUCCAGUUCAGAGGAGAUCUUUUGCCAUCUACUGAUUUUACAAGUAGUUUCUUUGAUUAUCAUAUCAUACAGAUUCAAUUACCACUUGCCAGGAUUUAUAAAAAAAAUCAUAUCAGAAAUGUUUAGAAAUUGUUUAUUUAGAUAUUUUUCAUUAAAUCAUUUCAGUGUAAACGUAAUGUUAAACAAAUCGAAAGAACAUGAAUAAAAAUCAUAAUUUAAUGAUUUAUAUCUUAAGUAAACUAAAAACAGAACGUCACAGAAAUAAAACUCGGGAGGUUUUCAAUCACAUUUUACAUUAGCGUCAACCGCGCAUGUGCAAAGCCAAUUAUUGCGCAAUCGGUGUUUUCGCUAAAACCUGACCCGGAAAUUUAGCAUAUUUUAUACGCGUCAAUGCGAAGAAAAGAAAGAUUAACCAAAUGAAAUAUUAGCAUAAAUGGGUGGGAUUAAGUCCAAAUAUGGCGUAUAUGACCUACAUAUUAUAUAAAUGCUGAUUUUUAGUAGGGAGAAUAAGGUUUGAAAACUAAACAAAUCGCGAUUUUGUUGAAAACGGCCAUAUACGCGGAUCUUUCUGUGGUUUUAAUGAAGUUUGAUCAUCAUUCUAAAUAAAAUGGGUAACAUUUACACCGUAUUUAACCGUAAUAUAUGUGAAUUUAGGUUAUUUUCAAUAUUGGUGCGCGACCGCGAGGGGAGUUAAGAAUGGAUAAAAUUACCUCCCCUGCCAAUCGAGCACUUACUAAUGUGGACGUUUCCGGAACGAUUGCAAACAAAAAUUAAUGCGUAUUACUUCGUAAUUGCAACAGCGAUUUGUAUCUGGUAGAUGACAAUAUUGCCGUUUGGUGCAGGUUGGUUAUAUUGAGUUAUUGCAUGUAUGCAUUUAUUGAAUCUUAUUUGUUUGUCUGAUAAAUUGAUGCAUUUUUGUGAUAUCCUUUUCGUACUCAAAAUCGUCGUACUUUUCAUACAUUUUUUUGCAAUCGAUGUUAAAUAUAUAAUCUAAAAAAAGCAAAACUAAUUUAAGGCAAGGCUUUCUUCUCAUUUAUCAUGCACAAAUAUUGGUUCCAGUGUCAAACCUGAAAGUAAUGUGUAUAACUGAGUUAACAAAUGGUUUUGUUUAAAAAAUAAGUGCAUUUGUAUUCAAUUCAUUUUCAGAAGAAACUCACUGACUCCGUGACAGAGUGUGUCCGCCUCGGGCUGGUUCAACUUUGAUGGCAAAGAAUAUAAAGGAUUUGUUAUAUCAGUGGUUCCCAGCUUUGGAGAAUGGUAUAAUGUUAAAUAUGACAAUGAUGAUGCUAUUUAUGCAUAUAACUUAUGUCAGGAUUACAAACAAGGUAUUUCUGUCUUGGCGCGGCGCACUUCGAUUCAUCUUAGCAGCAUACUAAGAAGUUGCCUGGUCCAAUAAAAGAUACGGGAUAGGUAUUUCUGUCUUGGCGCGGCGCACUUCGAUUCAUCUUAGCAGCAUACUAAGAAGUUGCUUGGUCCAAUACAAGAUACAGGAUAGGUCAGUGAUGGUUAUAGAAGCAGUCAGGAGUGAAUUGUGCACUGGAAAAACAUUCUAGAGUGGAAUAAAAAACUUGGGUCAGCUUUUUGUGAAAAGUGAAAAAAGUGACUUUCCGAAUGUUGAUUUUUUGCAUAAUCUGGAGUUGUUAAAUUCUAUGUGCUUUGACAUAACAUAAUAAAAGUAUACAUUUUUGUUAUAA